CAAUGUUUCCCCCCCAGUCGAAUUUCCUUUCAUUCCUGAGAAUUACCCAGUGGCAGAGAUGGAAGGAAUGGCCUAAAUAGACAACCACCACCACCACCACCCAUUCCGAGAACACCAACACCACCACCGCGACCAUACAAGCUUCGUCACCGCCUUCUCUUUUAAAUCCGACUAGGACGACGAACCGUUCAUCAACGAAGACCUCCAAGCCAUUGAAGCUACUCUUCAAUCCGCCUCCAAAAGGCCACGACCCUCCUCUUCUCACAACGACGACGACCAUAAUUCCGGCAGUCCAGAUCCCCCAACCAGUGGUGGUGGUGGUGGAAGCCGCCAAGAUUGCCCAGUUCCAUUCUCGCUUCCCAGGAACUGAACCCAUUCUCUCUUUCACCUUGCCGAGGAAUUUAGGGGGAUUUUAAAGCAUAUGACAGCAAGCAUGGUGAUGCGAAUUGUAAUAUUACUACAGCUGUUUGUAAGAUAUGUUUCUCCAUAGCUUGCACUCUUUAUUUUUCAUAUUACACUUUGAUUGCAACUGCCAUUUCCUGAAAAAAUUAAUUAUUUACUCAACUUUUGAUAGAUUUUUAAUCUGCCAUAUGAGAGUCCUAUUGUUUGAUGUCAAAAUAUGUGUCCAUUUAGGUAUGCAACAAUCCUAUUUUUUUCUCUUUUCCUUUUGCUCUCUCUAUUUGUGCGUCUCCCAUAAGUUGUUUUGUUUGUGAGUCUCCAAGCAAUUUUGGCCAAAUUCCAAAAAUUUGAUGACCAAAUUUAGCCGAGAGUUUUUGUUUUUAUAAACAUGAUCUGUUGUCAUCUCUUUUAUCUAUAAGAUUCUCUUAGGUGUUUUCAAGUAGUAGAAAAUUAUUGUUCCCAUCAUGUGACACAGAGGCAAAAACAUAUGCUAUGUCUAUGUGGAAGUAUAAAGUUGAAAAGAAUGUUAGAUUAUCCAUCCAAAGGAAAAGUUAACGCUUAUAAAAUAUCAAAAGCUAUUUGCAUGGAAUUGGAGUUUCUUUUUCUUUUCUUUUUUUUUUCCCCCCCAUUUUUGUGGGUAAAUAUGGAAUUGGAAAUGGUAUGAUUAAGAAUUGACAACCUGAAUAGAAGGGAAUAAAUUAUAUAAGUUCCUCUUUAUGGUGCUGUAUAAGAAAGAUGUAAACCGGAUGGGUGAAUUAAUUUCAACUUAUCAUAGUUAUAUCAGUCACUUUAUUUAAUGUUAAGUAGUCAAAUGUAAAACUCAAAACCCACAAAGUUUAGCAGAAAUAGAGUUCUGAAGGACAAGCUGAUUUACAUUGAGAUGUUGGAGACAUAUGUUACUAAGGACUCCAACAUUAAUAAAGGCUUGACUGAUAGAUUUUUGUUAAUUCUCUUGCUUUCAAUUUAUUUGCACAUUGACAAGCCAUCAUUGUAGUAGUCUAUCUGGAGGUGGAAGCCAGUAACCAUACAGCUCUGAUGGGUUUUCUUGUUAGGUAGUCUUUUAGAAAUUAAGUGCUGGUCGCACGAAUUCAAGAUUUAUUAGCAUAUGCACCUUUGAGCAAGCCAUUAGGAUAUGAAAAGGAAAAACUACAAUUUUAAUAUGCAUUCAUCUACUAUUAAUGCAUGCUUGUUUAUCAUUUUUACCACCUUGUCUUUCUAUAUUACACUAAUUUCUCCAAGUACUAGUUUAAUUUCUAAGUGGUUGGGGUCGUUUUCAGUUUAUUCUCUUGGGUUAUAUAUCUAUAUUCUCUACAUUCAUGAUGGUUAUAUUUUGUUAAAAACAUUCCAUUUAGAAGGUUAGACGGAAUACAAGAUCUUUAAGGGGAAUGAUUUGUUAACAUCUCUCUGUUUCAUGUUAUUGACUUAUAGAAAAGGGGGGAAUGGUUUGGCCAAAUAGUAAACUCUUGACUGUUCAGCCAAACCAUCAGUCUUUGCUCACAUAUUUUUGGCCCACAAUGCAAUGAAAUAAAAUUUCAGUGGGACAGCUGCAUAUUUUGAUCCUCUCUCUUGACAUCUUCAUCGUCCUGAUAUUACACCUUUAGAAAGCUCAAUAUGCAAUAUUACAUAGUGGAACUCCUGCUUUGUCUCGGUUCAAGCAGGUAUUUCUAGUGGCUCAUUAAGGAUAUAUAUGAUGUCAAUGGUGUUUGGUAUUUUAAUAAUUCUUUGAGUUUGUGCAAAAUUUUAUAGUAGGAAGCCUUGUAUCCUAAUGUAUUUAGAAGUGUCCAUGAAUGUGGUAAUCGAUAUUGCAAGGAUGUAAGUGACAAUAUGAUUUUGGUUAAAGGUCUUCUGAAGGAUUUAAUUUAAAACUAUUCCUUUCAAUUAUAAAUUUUGUCCCUGCUAUUGAACUUUCAGUGAGUAUUUAGAAUCUAUCAAGGUGCAAGUAACUAUGAAGAAUUGCAUAAUUUUAUGAAAGCAACAUUGAUGAUUCGCAUACUUAAAAAUGAUGUUCUGUCUAGGCUUCCUAUGAAACGUAAGCAACAGAUUUCAGGAAUUUAAGGAGCAAGGUCAAGUUUAAUCAAUUGAGCACAUGUUUAAAAUUAAUGCAAAGAGUUCAACGCAAGAUUUGUCUCCACCACUGCCCACCAUCGCCAUCACUACUCUUACUUGUAAUUGUUUAUAGAUGAUUUUAUUGUCUAUAUUACACAAAAUGAUUGUUUUAAGUAUGUACUAAUGAUAAUUAUAUGCAUGUAAAGACAAUUAUUGUUUUAUAAAUAUUUAAAGCCUUGGUGCUAU